CAAUGAAAUCCCUAAUUUCUGGAUCAAUCACUUCUAUUUUUCUGGCUCUCAUAUUCCUCUGUGCCUUCCUAUUGAUUAGAAGAAAGAGGUCCUCAAAACAAACCACCGAGUCUGGAGAGAGACCAGACAACACAGCACAGCUAAAUAUCAGUUCAGUGUGCAACAACCCUUCAGCUGCAGCACAGAGAAAACCAGCAGAGGAGUCAGACGAUCUUCACUAUGCCAGAGUAAGCUUCUCUAAAAACCAGGAAGAUCCUCUCUACUCCAACAUCAGGCCAGCUCAGCCCAACAGACACAAGAAUGAAGAGGAGGAGGACGAAGAUGGUGUGGAGUACAGUGCUGUCAACUUUAAGAGUGCGAG